rnacentral:rRNA from 1 species
GAUUUCUGGUUCGGCGCACUUGGCCCGCCUCGGUUUACGGGGUCGCGUGCCGGUGUGCGCCAUCCAUCCUUUGGAGUAACGUAUCUACCCUUCACUGGGCCGGAUACGUGAUUCCAAUCUUUUACUUUGAAAAAAUUAGAGUGUUUAAAGCAGGCUCGCGGCUAUGAAUACAUUAGCAUGGAAUAAUAAUUUAGGACUUUGGUCUUAUUUUGUUGGUUUCUAGGACUAAAGUAAUGAUUGAUAGGGACAGUUGGGGGUGCUAGUAUUCAGCGGCCAGAGGUGAAAUUCUUGGAUUCGCUGAAGACUAACUUAUGCGAAAGCAUU